ACACGUGAACAAUCUACCCUUGAGAGGGGAAUAACCCCGCGAAAGCGGGGCUAAUACCGCAUAACAUCCCUAGGUCGCAUGGCUUGGGGAUCAAAGGCUCCGGUCACUCAAGGAGGAGUUCGCGGCUGAUUAGCUAGUUGGUGAGGUAACGGCCCACCAAGGCGACGAUCAGUAGCCGGCCUGAGAGGGCGUACGGCCACACUGGAACUGAGACACGGUCCAGACUCCUACGGGAGGCAGCAGUGGGGAAUUUUGCGCAAUGGGCGAAAGCCUGACGCAGCAACGCCGCGUGGAGGAUGAAGGCCUUCCGGUCGUAAAUCCUGUCAGGGGGGGACCAAAGGCCGGGCCAC
rnacentral:rRNA from 1 species